UGCCAGCAGCCGCGGUAAUACGGAGGGGGUUAGCGUUGUUCGGAAUUACUGGGCGUAAAGCGCACGUAGGCGGAUUAGUAAGUUAGGGGUGAAAUCCCGGGGCUCAACCCCGGAACUGCCUCUAAUACUGCUAGUCUUGAGUUCGAGAGAGGUGAGUGGAAUUCCGGGUGUAGCGGUGAAAUGCGUAGAUAUCCGGAGGAACACCAGUGGCGAAGGCGACUUGCUGGGACAAUACUGACGCUGAGGUGCGAAAGUGCCGGCAGCUAACAGGAUCAGAUA
rnacentral:rRNA from 1 species